rnacentral:rRNA from 1 species
GUGGGGAAUAUUGGACAAUGGGCGAAAGCCUGAUCCAGCCAUGCCGCGUGUGUGAAGAAGGUCUUCGGAUUGUCAAGCACUUUAAGUUGGGAGGAAGGGCAGUAAGUUAAUACCUUGCUGUUUUGACGUUACCGACAGAAUAAGCACCGGCUAACUUCGUGCCAGCAGCCGCGGUAAUACGAAGGGUGCAAGCGUUAAUCGGAAUUACUGGGCGUAAAGCGCGCGUAGGUGGUUUUGUAAGUUGGAGGUGAAAUCCCCGGGCUCAACCUGGGAACUGCCUCCAAAACUGCAUGACUAGAGUACGGUAGAGGGUAGUGGAAUUUCCUGUGUAGCGGUGAAAUGCGUAGAUAUAGGAAGGAACACCAGUGGCGAAGGCGACUACCUGGACUGAUACUGACACUGAGGUGCGAAAGCGUGGGGAGCAAACAGGAUUAGAUACCCUUGUAGUCC